rnacentral:rRNA from 1 species
GACGAACGCUGGCGGCGUGCUUAACACAUGCAAGUCGAACGGUGAAGCGAGUGCUUGCACUCGUGGAUCAGUGGCGAACGGGUGAGUAACACGUGAGUAACCUGCCCAUCACUCUGGGAUAAGCACUGGAAACGGUGUCUAAUACUGGAUACGACCAACCCUUGCAUGGGGUGUUGGUGGAAAGAUUUAUCGGUAGUGGAUGGACUCGCGGCCUAUCAGCUUGUUGGCGGGGUAAUGGCCCACCAAGGCGACGACGGGUAGCCGGCCUGAGAGGGUGACCGGCCACACUGGGACUGAGACACGGCCCAGACUCCUACGGGAGGCAGCAGUGGGGAAUAUUGCACAAUGGGCGAAAGCCUGAUGCAGCGACGCCGCGUGAGGGAUGACGGCCUUCGGGUUGUAAACCUCUUUCAGCAGGGAAGAAGCGAAAGUGACGGUACCUGCAGAAGAAGCACCGGCUAACUACGUG